rnacentral:tmRNA from 2 species
GGGGGUGAUCGGUUUCGACGAUGGUCGUCGUUCCAGGAGAAGCGGGUCGAGGAUGCACGGUCAUCUCGUCAACGCUCCGUGCAAACCAAUAGGUGCCAAUUCCAACCGCACCGACUUCGCCCUCGCCGCCUGAGCGAGCUGCGUAGUCCGUCAGCCUGAGGUCGCUUCCGCCUCAGAUCCUGGCGUCAUCUAGGGAGCCAAUGCUCGUAGUCCUGGUCAUGGGGGCUGCGGGGACUCUCACGUGACUGGGCCCGUCAGCGACUUGUCUGCGUGAUCGCUGGGGCCGAGAAAAGCACAGCAGACUGCACCCGGAGAAGGCCUGGUUCACUGCCGUCGGACGCGGGUUCGAUUCCCGCCACCUCCACCC